rnacentral:lncRNA from 1 species
CUUAUUUUCGGAAAAUUUUCAUAGUUCAUCCGAGUUUGGGAUGACUUCUAUCAGUUUCCAUGUGUUUCCGGAUAACGGUUUUUUCAAUCAAUAUCGAAAAAGAUUGUAAUUAUCUUUGAUCUACAUCAUUAUUCAGGUAAGACAGCUAUAAUUUAAAAGAAUAAUAGCCGUACGGUAAUCAAAGAACAACUAUGCUGUUUUUUGUGUUUUUUUUUUUUGUAAUGUAUAAUGCCUCGUACCAGAUUAUAAUAUAAAUAUUGUAAUUAAUGUCUAUCAAGCAUCAUAAAUAAAUACAAAAUUAGAUAAUAAAUUAAUUAAUACACAAUGAUAACUUUACCAACCAUGUUAUCAGUUCAAACAAUUCAAAUACACUUAAAUAAUUUUCCUAAUAUUCCUUUUCUUUCAUGGUUAAAAAAUUGUUUUGUAGAACGAGCCUAUUUCUAAAACCAGUUUUAAAAACAGAAAAUACAUUUAUCUUCUUUGUUCUAAACUCUGACAAAUAGUGUAUUUUGUGAAUUGAAAAUAUAAUAACUGUAAGAAAAAAAAUAAUAUCAUAAUAUUCUAUAUCAUUUAUUUUGUAACCCCAAAUCAAAUUGUUUAGUGUUAAAAUGUGUUUUCCAAGUUUAACUUUUUCUAACAGAUUAAAUAUGUCUUUCCAAAAUUUAUCAAGAAAGUGGCAUGUAAUAAAAAAGUGUUCAUAAUCGUCUGUAAUAUUACAGUGAUUACAGUCUGAGUUUUGGCAUAUUUUCCAUUGUUUUAAAUAAAACUUUGUUUGGAAGAAUAAAAUGUAAUAGUUUCCAUCUGAACAUUUUUAAUUUAUUUUCUUUCAAAUAAUUAGGAACAAAUUUUAGUAUGUUUUGAGUUUUAUUUUCUAUGUUUUCAAAAUUUAGUAGUCUCUUCCAUUUGUAAAAGCCAAUUGGUAUUUCUUUAUCUUGUUCUAAUAGUAUUUUGUAAAUUUUACUUGUUUCUAAUUUAUUUAUAUUUUGUUUAAAGUUAUCUUUGUCAUAAAUAUACACAACAUUAUCUGUUAGUACAUUAGUUGUUCUUGAACAUUGUUCAGCUAAUAUUUUAACCCAUUCUUUUGGUAUAGCUUUUUUUUAAUUUUAAAAAUUCAGUAAUCCAGUUUGUCUUUUUUUAUUAAGCUUUUGUCUAAUAAUCUUUCUGUUAUAUUUCCAGAUUCAUCUAUGAUAUCAUAUUAUGUUAUUAUGUUGCUAUCUAUCCAGUUUUGGAAUAAUAAUGUUUUUUCUUGAAAUUUUAUCCACUGAUUUCCCAAAUAACUUGUUGGCGGAUUAGUCUGUAGAUUUUUGGGUAUUUAUUAUUAUUAUUUUUGUUCUUGAUCCAAACUUUGAUUAUAUCAAGAUAAAACUCUGGUAUCUUUUUUUAUAUCUGGUAUUGAAUUUAUACUAUCCAGAUUCAUUUGCAAUUAUAUGAGAAGAUUAUUUCCAAAUGUGUUAAAUAAUAUUUUGGUAUUACCGUCCAGUUUAAGAAUUGCUCUGCAUUUAAUCUUUUAAUCCAACCUAUUUUUGAUUGUUUCUAUGUAUUUCUCUACAUUAAUCAUUUUUAAUCCCCCAUUUAAUUUGUCGUAACUUAGUACGGAGCGUUUAACUUUUUAUACGACCGCAAAAAUUUUAAUUUUUUGGUCGUAUAUUGCUAUCACGUUGGCGUCGUCGUCUGCGUCGUCGUCGUCCGAAUACUUUUAGUUUUCGCACUCUAACUUUAGUAAAAGUGAAUAGAAAUCAAUGAAAUUUUAACACAAGGUUUAUGACCACAAAAGGAAGGUUGGGAUUGAUUUUGGGAGUUUUGGUCCCAACAUUUUAGGAAUUAGGGGCCAAAAAGGGCCCAAAUAAGCAUUUUCUUGGUUUUCGCACUAUAACUUUAGUUUAAGUGAAUAGAAAUCUAUGAAAUUUUGACACAAGGUUUAUGACCACAAAAGGAAGGUUGGGAUUGAUUUUGGGAGUUUUGGUUCCAACAGUUUAGGAAUUAAGGGCCAAAAAGGGCCCAAAUAAGCAUUAUUCUUGGGUUUUCGCACAAUAACUUUAGUAUAAGUAAAUAGAAAUCAAUGAAAUUUUAACACAAGGUUUAUGACCACAAAAGGAAGGUUGGGAUUGAUUUUUGGAGUUGAGGUCACAACAGUUUAUGAAUUAGGGGCCAAAAAGGGGCCCAAAUAAGCAUUAUUUUUGGUUUUUGCACCAUAACUUUAGUAUAAGUAAAUAGAAAUCUAUGAAAUUUAAACACAAGGUUUAUGACCAUAAAAGGAAGGUUGGGUUUGAUUUUGGGAGUUUUGGUCCUAACAGUUUAGGAAUAAGGGGCCCAAAGGGUCCAAAAUUGAACUUUGUGUGAUUUCAUCAAAAAUUGAAUAAUUGGGGUUCUUUGAUAUGCCGAAUCUAACUAUGUAUGUAGAUUCUUAAUUUUUGGUCCCGUUUUCAAAUUGGUCUACAUUAAGGUCCAAAGGGUCCAAAAUUAAACUUAGUUUGAUUUUAACAAAAAUUGAAUCCUUGGGGUUCUUUGAUAUGCUGAAUUUAAAAAUGUACUUAGAUUUUUAAUUAUUGGCCUAGUUUUCAAGUUAGUCCAAAUGGGGGUCCAAAAUUAAACUUUGUUUGUUUUCAUCAAAAAUUGAAUAAUUGGGUUUCUUUGAUAUGCCAAAUCUAACUGUGUAUGUAGAUUCUUAAUUUUUGGUCCAGUUUUCAAAUUGGUCUACAUUAAGGUCCAAAGGGUCCAAAAUUAAACUAAGUUUGAUUUUAACAAAAAUUAAAUUCUUGGGCUUAUUUGAUAUGCUUUAUCUAAAUAUGUACUUUGAUUUUUGAUUAUGGGCCCAGUUUUCAAGUUGGUCCAAAUCAGGAUUCCAUAUCAAGUAUUGUGCAAUAGCAAGAAAUUUUCAAUUGCACAGUAUUGCACAAUAGCAAGAAAUAUCUAAUUGCACAAUAUUGUGCAAUAGCAAUUAAUUUUCAAUUGGAGUUAUCUUUCUUUGUAUAGAAUAGUAGUUGAUAAUAUAUGUUGGAAAUUUGCCAGACAUGACUAUGAUGUCAUUUUCUAUUUUUAUUUGCCAAUAACUUUAUGUAAAUAACUUCAUUGGAAAUUUGCCAAUAUAAAAUGUUGCUGAUGAAGCUUUUUUUCCUUAUCUUAUCUAAAAUGUUUUUAGAUAAUGUAUGUUGGACAUUUGCCAGACAUGACUAUGAUGUCAUUUUCUAUUUUUAUUUGCCAAUAACUUUAUGUAAAUAACUUCAUUGGAAAUUUGCCAAUAUAAAAUGUUGCUGAUGAAGUUUUUUUUAUUGUUUUAUACAAUAAACAAUGUAUAUUCACUUUUACUACCAACCAAUCUUUACCAUUCAGUGAUAACAAACACUUUAUUUUACAUUUUAAUAUUUUAUGAUGUAUUUAAAAGAGUAGUUAUUGUUGCAAACUCCAUUAGAAAUUUGAAUUGAUAUCAGUUUUGGAAAAAGGGAAGCGGGGAUGUGAAAAAAAAGGGGGGGGGUUAAAUUUUUUCUCAUUUCAGAUUUCAUAAAUAAAAAGAAAAUUUCUUCAAACAUUUUUUUGAGAGGAUUAAUAUUCAACAGCAUAGUGAAUUGUCCAAGGGCAAAAAAAAAACUUUAUAGUUCAUUAGACCACAUUCAUUCUGUGUCAGAAACCUAUGCUGUGUCAACUAUUUAAUUUUAGAUUUAAAAAGUUUGAAGAAGAAAUCUUUAAUUGAUUUGUAAAAUCUUGACAUUUGUUUUGUUAAAAAAAAAAACAUUGUAAUGUCAAAAAUUUGAUCACAAUCCAAAUUCAGAGCUGUAUCACGCUUGAAUGUUUUGUCCAUACUUGCCCCAACUGUUCAGGGUUCGACCUCUGCGGUCGUAUAAAGCUGCGCCCUGCGGAGCACCUGGUUCAUAAAAAUUCAUAUAUCAUUUUUUAAACUGGUUUAAAUACUCUUUAUCUAUGGUUGAGACAGAUGCUAAAAAUGUAAUAUUAGGAAUAAUUAAUGAUUAAGUAACUGUUAUCCUUCUAAUCAUGGUUAAGUUUCUCUUUUUCCAUUAAGAAUAAUUUUUGCUGAUUUUUCUAAAAGUUUUUCAGCAUUUAAUCUUUGACACUUUUUUAUUAUGACCAAAAUAUAUACCUAGGCUUUUUACAGGUAUAUUGAUCCAGUUAAUAUUUUCAUGUUUAUCUUUGCAGUUUUUUUGCUUCCCAAGCCAAACACCCUCAGUUUUAGCUCUGUUUAAUUUCAAACCUGACAAUGUUCCAAAUGUUUCAAUCAUAUUAAGUGCUUUUGAAAUGUCUUGUUUUGUUCUAAGAAAAAGAGUGGUAUCAUCUGCUAGUUGCAUAAUUUUUAAUGUGUGAGUUUUGCCAUCAAGUUUAAUUGCAAAGCCUUUGAGGUCAUGAUCUUGUCUGAUCCUACAUGCUAAAAUUUCAACAGCAAUUACAAAAAUUAUCGCACUGCAUGGGCACCCUUGCCUAAUCCCACGAAAAAUGCUUAUAGGUUUUGAAAUCCAACCAUUGUUUAUAACUGAGCUUUUAAUAUCAGUAUAUAGAACUUUAAUCCAUUUCAACAUUGAACUUUUGAAUCCAAAUUUGUUUAAAGCUAAAAACAUGAAAUCCCACUCUAAAGAAUCAAAAGCUUAAAGAGAAAUUUAAGAAAAGAAGAGCUCCCUCUAUGUUGAAUUUUUCUGCAAAAUCAAUGAUAUCUUGAAUUUGUCUAAUGUUAUAUCCAAUAUAUCUAUUUUUUUACAUACCCAUUUUGAUCCCCAUGAAUAAUUUGUGGUAAUAUUUUACUAAUUCUUUGUGCUAAUGACUGAGCUACAAUCUUUGUAUCUACAUUUAAUAAUGUUAUUGGCCUAUAGUUAUCUAAAGAUAGUGGGUCAUUUUUUUUAUGUAGAAGGGAAAUAACUCCUAUUUUUUGUAAAUUAGUUAACUCCCCUUUUUCAUAUGAAAAAUUGAAUGUAUUAACAGCAAAUUCUUUCAGAUCUUCCCAAAAUAUCUUGUAAAACUCUACACUUAAACCAUCAAUGCCUGGGGCUUUAUUGAGUUUCAUUUUAAAUUCUGUGCAUUCCUGGAUACUUAAUAGACCUUCCAUACUUUCACUUUCUUUAUUGGUUAAUUUAUGAUCAAUUUCUGUAUUCAUAAUGUAAUCUUUAAUAUAAGUUAUGUUAGGGUUUGAACUUUUGUAUAUAUAUCUUGAUAAAAUUCUCUUUCAAGUUGCAAUAUUUUUGUAGGAUCUCUGUGUAUCUCCCCAUCUUUAUCUUUAAGGGCUGUUAUUGUUUUUUUUUUGUUUGCCUAGAUUUUUCUAAUCCUAAAAAGAAUUUUGUAUUUUUUUUUCCCUUCUUCCACCCACUUAAUUCUAGAUCUAAUUUGUGCCCCUUUAGUUUUCGCUUCAUAUAAAUUACUAAGUUUGUUUUUCUAAUUUAUUGAUUUCAUCAUCAUUGAAAUAGGCAAUAACAUCUUCUUGGCACUUCAAAUUUAUACAUUCAUUUAAUUUUUUAAGUUUAUUUUCUAAAAUGUUUAUUUCUUUUACAUUGUUUUGUGCUUUCCUUUUACAGAAUGCUAUAGUAUAGUCUCGCACCUCUGUUUUAAAGAGAUCCCAUUGAAGCCCAACGUCGUUGGUAAGUAAUACUUUACAUUCAUACUGUUUUAUAAGUUUUUUAAUUAUGUUUUGAUACUCAUUAUUUUCUAAAACACUAUUAUUUAUUUUAAAAUAUCCUUUUCCUUUUUGUUGUGAUCUACAGUUUAUCAUAAGAGAUAUUGCUUGAUGAUCUGUAUGGGUUAUAAUGGCUGGUCUUAUGUCUGUUGAUUCUAUUUGAGUUCGUAUUUCAGGACAGGUUAAAAAGAAAUCAAUUCUUGAUGCUUCAUUGAUGUUAUUUUUCCUUCUCCAAGUAAAUUGUAUUUUUUUACCAUGUAUUUCUCGCCAUAUAUCACUUAACUUAUGCAUUUUUAUUAAAGAUUUUAAGCUGGGUACAGCUUUUUUUUCUUUAAAGGACUUUUUUGACAUAUUAUGCUUGUUGUCUAUAUUAGUUAAGGUGUCAUUCAUGUCUCCUCCUAUAAUGACCAUUCCUAAGCUAUUUUUAGUUAUAACAUCUUUAACUUUUUUAAAGAAGACAUUUCUUUUUUGGGGUAUGUUUGGUGCAUAAAUAUUUACCAAGGUAUAUAUACUGUCUUCAAUUUCAAUAUUUAAAAGGAUUAACCUGCCUUCCUCAUCUUGAAAUUUAUCUAUAAAUUUACAAUCUAUCUCAUUAUUUAUGAAGAUUGAGACUCCUUUUGAUUGUGAGGUUCCAAAGCUGUGAUAUUGUUGACCUUUAAAUUCAUAUUCUAAAUUUAUUUUCAAUUUGUCUGUAAAAUGACUUUCCUGUACAAACAAUAUGUUACAUUUUUGAUACUUCAUCCACAUAUAUAAUCUUUGUCUUUUCUCUUUUGCACCAAGACCCUGACAAUUUAAGGAGCAAAUAUGUAUUUUUUUUGUCAUAAUUUUCUUAUUAAAAUUGGUAUGUGUUUAAAAUACUGGCAUGUUAACAUAUUCAAGCUAAUAAAUUCCUGUAUGACAAUACAGAUGCAUAUAUAUAUAUAUCAAAUAAACUCAAAUCUAUAUAAAGUAUUUGUUCUAUACAUACAUGUAUUUUAGAACAUGAAUUAAUAUCUUCUAUAUAAAAUGAGCAGUAUCUUUUGUGUAAACAUGUACUAAAUUUGACAAGUAAUAUUAAGCAAUAUAAAAUUGUCUGCUUAUAUUCCUUUAGGUAUGAUAUAUUCAUUUCAUUCUUUUGAUUAGUGAUGCAUUUUAAUAAUACAUUUUUUGGAAACAUAUUUUCUUGGUUCAAUAAAUAGCACGUCUUGUUUUCUUUUUUCAGCUGCCUAACGACCUUGACACUGAUAAAGGCUUGGCAUGAAUAAAAACAGUGAUCGAAUAUCGUGGAAUCGAACUGCUUGUAGCUGUGUUUAUAGAAUAUGCCAUAAGUGGAUUUAAUUUGAAAGAAACUGGAUGUAUUAUGUGAAUAGUGAAAGAUAAUAAUAUCACCUGGAAUGUACUUAGCAAUCGUCGAGAUUAUUCUAUUUUUAGAAUUGGAAUGUAUUUUCAACAAAUUAGUUAUCAACGGAAAAUCCCUUUGCGUAGCUGAUAAGUGAGACAUAGUUAUUGACAAAUGGACAUCUUUAAUUAAACAAUAUAAAGAGAAUGUCCUAUGUGUAAUCAAGCAUUUGAACAUGUAAUGUUCUAUAAAUAGAUUGUACAAAAUGUGUGAUAUCAGAACUUUAAGUCUGAUGAAUAUGACAAUAAAUAAUAGAUAUGAAUAUACUGUUUUGGACUUGUAUUUAUAUUUACAUUUCUGAAUUCUAAUAUCUUGAAUUAUAUCAAAUAAAU